AUUGAACGCUGGCGGCAGGCCUAACACAUGCAAGUCGAGCGGAUGAAGGGAGCUUGCUCCUGGAUUCAGCGGCGGACGGGUGAGUAAUGCCUAGGAAUCUGCCUGGUAGUGGGGGAUAACGUCCGGAAACGGGCGCUAAUACCGCAUACGUCCUGAGGGAGAAAGUGGGGGAUCUUCGGACCUCACGCUAUCAGAUGAGCCUAGGUCGGAUUAGCUAGUUGGUGGGGUAAAGGCCUACCAAGGCGACGAUCCGUAACUGGUCUGAGAGGAUGAUCAGUCACACUGGAACUGAGACACGGUCCAGACUCCUACGGGAGGCAGCAGUGGGGAAUAUUGGACAAUGGGCGAAAGCCUGAUCCAGCGAUGCCGCGUGUGUGAAGAAGGUCUUCGGAUUGUAAAGCACUUUAAGUUGGGAGGAAGGGCAGUAAGUUAAUACCUUGCUGUUUUGACGUUACCAACAGAAUAAGCACCGGCUAACUUCGUG
rnacentral:rRNA from 1 species